rnacentral:rRNA from 1 species
AGCGAACGCUGGCGGCAGGCCUAACACAUGCAAGUCGAGCGGCCCUUCGGGGCAGCGGCGGACGGGUGAGUAACGCGUGGGAACGUGCCCUUUGGUACGGAACAACUGAGGGAAACUUCAGCUAAUACCGUAUGUGCCCUACGGGGGAAAGAUUUAUCGCCAUUGGAGCGGCCCGCGUUAGAUUAGCUAGUUGGUAGGGUAAUGGCCUACCAAGGCGACGAUCUAUAGCUGGUCUGAGAGGAUGAUCAGCCACACUGGGACUGAGACACGGCCCAGACUCCUACGGGAGGCAGCAGUGGGGAAUCUUGCGCAAUGGGCGAAAGCCUGACGCAGCCAUGCCGCGUGAAUGAUGAAGGUCUUAGGAUUGUAAAAUUCUUUCACCGGGGACGAUAAUGACGGUACCCGGAGAGGAAGCCCCGGCUAACUUCGUGCCAGCCGCCGCGGUAACAC